UCGUUGCCUUUACGGGUACACCCCUCUAAGUAAUUUACCGACAACAAUGAAACACAAAGAAACAUGUUUAUGUUGUAGCCGACGAGUUGAUUGGGAUUUCCACACAUCUAGGUAAUUACCGCAGUGAACUACGACGUGUUUUUCUAUGUAACACUGUUACCCCUACCACCACAAUAUUAUCGGCACAAGCACUGUGAUUGGACCGGUCCCAUAAUGUACUGGGAACUCCAUCGGUCAACCGCCAUUAUUUGGAUUAGUGUCUUUCUUACGUGAAACGCGUUCUUACAGAUCAACGUGUAGCAUUAACGAUUCGUGCGUGUUGUUCGCUGUCCCUGCCCAUUAAUGUUUAUAUAUAAAUAAUUUUGUUCAAUAUACCUCCUUUUAAGCAUAAACGUCGCGUGUGCACCGUAAUUGAGUCGUGUUCUCGUCGUCACGUAAUAAUAUAACGUCGUUUUACUGAGCUCUAUCGGUCGUAGAAGAGUAAGCAAUCCUCUGGCCAAUUGGACCUCAUUAGCUACCUCUGACUGUCCACUAUUGUCCAUCUAUUAAUCAGUUUCUUUUGGUGAGGACCCCAGGUUAGCCGUUUGUCAAGGAUUAGAUCUAGAUAUUUUGUCUCAUUUUGAGAAGCGACAAUUGUAUUGUUAAUUGUUAUAGCGGAACAUAUUUCAGGUCGGAGAGCGAAGGUAACUUGACUGGAUUUGUUUUCAUUAAUUUUGAUUUACAAUUCUUUAACUAUUUUUCACAAGCGUUAGUAUGUGAUUGUAGAUAGUGAGCCGCAUCGUUUUUAAAAAUAAUUAGGUUUUUUUUUUUUAUGAAAGCAAAGAGGGGGUGUACUUAUUACCAAACCCUACUACGUGAGUGAGUCGUGUAGCUUAAUUGUAUUUUGUAAAUAGUUUAUAGUAUAAUUAUAUUUUAUAUUUAUAUCUUUUAACUCGUUAAUUCCUGUUUUUACUAAUAUGUAACAUCUUAUUAAAUAAAAUUAUAAUCUUCUGACUAAUAGUUACUGUGCUACGGUGUCCAUUGGACUUUCUUGUAAACGACAAUAAAGUUGUCGCAUGACGCUAAAACAUGUUAAAAGUUUUUCUUUUAAUAUAUUUUUAAGUUGGUACCAUAUUAUCAUUUAGCUUAAGUAGAAAAUGUUUCUCAUUGAUUAUCUUAGAAAUAUAAAUCGAUGGUUCUUCCGUUGUCAUCAGUUGUUAUUUAGUUGACAGAAAUUUCUAGAUCUUUUACAAACUUGUGAAAUGAUAAUCAAUUAUUUUUUCAGGUAAGGUAUAUAAUUUUAUUCUUUCACUGGUCAAUUUUGGCUUCGAUGCGAAUUUGUUAAGAUAUUAA